GGCUACGGCUUCGGCGGAGACUUCCUAGUUGGUGUCCUAUUGAAUGAUUGAGCUGUCAGUUUAUUUCAAUUCGCUCAAGCGCCCACGCGACUACUCCGCCCGGAGAGAAAAAGAGGGCAGACUCCCAUGCAGAAUGGACUUGUACAUGACUCCUCUUAUCAGAAUAGCGAAUAAUGCGCUACUUGAUGGAAAAAUACUGGAUUUGGUGUGUAGUGGAGACGGUACACAAACCUGUAAAGUCAUUCAGGAAGGAUUUUUCGAAGGGCGUUUGAGUCUUUACCCAGCAACACUGUCUACCACUCAUUUCUUUAUGUCUUGGCGACCCACAGAAACAUGUAUAAAUCAUUUGUGUUAAUUGAAGUAGUCUGGUGCUGAAAUAUUGUUUGUGCUAACUCAUCACAUUUCAGUUUUUGAAGUAUAUAUAUAUAUAUUAGAUUUGGAAAACAAAUGUAAUUUGGUCCUAUAUGUUUUAGAAACAUCAGUUGAUGGGGAAGUGCAAUAUUGCAACAGAACUGUUAUUAGCUUAGUUGUGUUGUUUCAGAGUUGCUCAUUGGUCAUUAUAAGAAAUGCAUUAUAAUUGUUCUGUUAUUCCCACAAUGCAUGUCAUAAUGACAUGACGUGGAUUUCUGAUUGUAAUGUAGGAAGGUGGAGAGUAUCAUUAUGCCUCACCAAAUCAUUCAAAGAAAGUGUAACCUAAAAUCUUAUUGAUUUUAUUGAAGAAAAGUUGCAUACACUAUGCCAUGUCAAAUAUAAGCUAUCUGUUAUCUCAUCUAUUGUAUCUGUGCACAAUUAGUGUAAGUGUCCUUGGAUCAGUCUCACACUCCAGACAGUUGACCUAUGUCCAAGCCUUUGUUAUUAACAAACAAGCUUUCAAAGCUUAUUAUUUAUGUUUGGAUUCAUGAAUGCCAUUUGGUUUGCCCUCCAUGCUGUCACAUUCCUAGAAUAUUCUACCCUUGGAAGAAAAAACACAUUUCUGGACACAAAUGGGUCAGUCCAAUUUUUAGAAAUACAAUAGUCUUGGAAAAGUCAGUGUCUGAAGUUCAACUUAAUACAUACAGUAUUUGAGAUAAGACAUUUUCAUAUAGUUAAGGGGGGUACCAUAUCAUACUGUUCACGAUAAAUCAUACAAUAACGCUAAUAUCGUGAUAAUGGCAAAAUUCCGACUUCUUAGCAUAAUAAUAAUUUGGCAUCUGUUUAGAUGUUCACUUUGUUAUACUGUUUAUAUUUUAUACAGAAUCUUAAAGGCAAACUGUUAUUGUUUAUGCUGACAUAUAAAACUAUAACACUUAUUUGGUUGCAAUUGUAUGUUCUUAAAAAUUAAUAAUAUAUUGUUGUUGUUUUUUGUCAUAUCAAGAAGAAGAAGAAUCGCAGAUUCCCUCUGAAAUAUCGUAAUAUUACAUUAGGGCCAUAUCGCCCACCCCUAAUAUAGCUCUAUAUAACACACUCUGUCCAGUGCUUUAACUGUUGUGGUUUAUUAUUUGUUUAUUAUUAUGUCUUCCGUAAUGUUUGAUCUAAUCCACUGUAUAAAUCUUUUCUCAAUACCCA